rnacentral:rRNA from 1 species
AGUGAACGCUGGCGGCAGGCCUAAUACAUGCAAGUCGAACGGCAGCACAGCAGAGCUUGCUCUGUGGGUGGCGAGUGGCGGACGGGUGAGGAAUACGUGGGAAUCUGCCCAGUCGUGGGGGAUAACGUAGGGAAACUUACGCUAAUACCGCAUGCGCCCUUUGGGGGAAAGCCGGGGAUCUUCGGACCUGGCGCGAUUGGAUGAGCCCACGUCGGAUUAGCUAGUUGGAGGGGUAAAGGCCCACCAAGGCGACGAUCCGUAGCUGGUCUGAGAGGAUGAUCAGCCACACUGGAACUGAGACACGGUCCAGACUCCUACGGGAGGCAGCAGUAGGGAAUAUUGGACAAUGGGCGCAAGCCUGAUCCAGCCAUGCCGCGUGAGUGAAGAAGGCCCUCGGGUUGUAAAGCUCUUUUGUUGGGGAAGAAAAGCCUUGGGUUAAUACCCUGAGGUUCUGACGGUACCCAAAGAAUAAGCACCGGCUAACUUCGUGCCAGCCGCCGCGGUAACAC